rnacentral:rRNA from 1 species
UGGUGGGUAGUUUGACUGGGGCGGUCUCCUCCCAAAGAGUAACGGAGGAGCACGAAGGUUGGCUAAGCAUGGUCGGACAUCAUGCGGUUAGUGCAAAGGCAUAAGCCAGCUUGACUGCGAGAGUGACGGCUCGAGCAGGUACGAAAGUAGGUCUUAGUGAUCCGGUGGUUCUGAAUGGAAGGGCCAUCGCUCAACGGAUAAAAGGUACUCCGGGGAUAACAGGCUGAUACCGCCCAAGAGUUCAUAUCGACGGCGGUGUUUGGCACCUCGAUGUCGGCUCAUCACAUCCUGGGGCUGAAGUAGGUCCCAAGGGUAUGGCUGUUCGCCAUUUAAAGUGGUACGCGAGCUGGGUUUAGAACGUCGUGAGACAGUUCGGUCCCUAUCUGCCGUGGGCGUUGGAAGAUUGAAAGGGGCUGCUCCUAGUACGAGAGGACCGGAGUGGACGCACCACUGGUGUUCGGGUUGUCAUGCCAAUGGCACUGCCCGGUAGCUAAGUGCGGAAGAGAUAACCGCUGAAAGCAUCUAAGCGGGAAACUUGCCUUGAGAUGAGUCUUCCCUGACUCUUUAAGGGUCCUAAAGGAACGUUUAAGACUAAGACGUUGAUAGGCUGGGUGUGUAAGCGUAGCGAUACGUUGAGCUAACCAGUACUAAUGAACCGUGAGGCUUAACCUG